rnacentral:sRNA from 1 species
GAGAAGGUGUAUUGGACCUGCCGGGACCAGGCCCGCAUGGGAUGCCGCAGCCGUGCCAUCACCCAGGGCCGGCGAGUGACUGUGAUGCGUGGUCACUGCCACCCGCCCGACCUGGGGGGCCUGGAGGCCCUGAGGCAGCGGGAGAAACGCCCCAACACGGUGCAGUGGGGGAGCCCAGGCCCUGGCCUCGUUCCAGUGGCUCUUCUCCAUCCUGCAGCUUUUGGGUCAUUAGGCCCCGAGUUCCUGAAGACGCCCCUGGGGGGCAGCUUCCUGGUGUACGAGUCCUUCCUCUACCGGCGGGAGAAGGCAGCCGGGGAGAAGGUGUAUUGGACCUGCCGGGACCAGGCCCGCAUGGGCUGCCGCAGCCGCGCCAUCACCCA